UUUUUUUUUUUUUUUUUUUUGGUCUUUUUAGGGCCACGCCCAUGGCAUAUAGAGGUUCCCUGACUAGGGGUUGAAUCAGAGCUGUAGCCACUGGUCUACACUACAGCCACAGCAUCAUUAGAUGCAAACUGCAUCUGCAACCUACACCACAACUCACAGCAACGCCAGAUCCUUAACCCACUGAGCAGGGCCAAGGAUCGAACCUGAGUCUUCUUGGAUACUAGUCAGAUUUGUUUCCGCUGAGCCACAGCGAGAACUUCAUUUUUUUUUUUCUUACUAUACUCUUGAUCACAAGUACUCUUCCUACUCAAUCAAGCCAGGAACCUUUCUAAAUACCUAAUCACCAAAUUCUGAUGAUUUCACCUCUUAAAAUAUUUGUCUCGUCCCAUUUAAAUCCAUCCUUGGCACUCUGCAGAUCUGCCUAUUCCUUCCCACCGACUGCCUUCAAAAUAAAAACUAAACUCUGGCGUUAUAUAUAAAACCCUCCAAGAUCUACCUCUCUGUCUUUUUUCGUUGCUAUUUGCUGCCUCACUCUUUGCAAUCCAGCUUAACAAUGGUUUCCUGCCCACACUGUGCUGUACCAUGCUUCUGCCUUUUUCUCUACCUCAAACAUCCCUUCCUUUCAACUAAUGCUUAUCCUCAUCAUUUAAAGCUCAAUCCAAGUAUCACGCACCCCAAUAAGUAAACACUUCCACAUGCCCAAGCCUGUGUAACCCUAUGUUUAUCUCUCCUCAGCUCUUAACAAAGCAUAUUUGUUUAUAUUUCUUUAACUGCAUUAGACUGUAAGAGUCUUGAAGGCAGAAAUCUUAUUUGUAACUCCAACCACCUGGCACACAAGAUAGCUGCAUCUUUGUAACUCAAAUUCUUCUCAUUUCCUUCAAAGUGACCAGAGAAUGGGGGAAAAAUUAUGUCACUGAAACACAAACAAUCUUCGAUGCAGUAAUCAAUUUGGGCUCAGAAAAAGAGGCCUACAAAAAACACUAAAAAUAUCCCUUCCUCAUAAGAUUUCCUUCCUCUUCACAAAAUCCCUGACCCCAAGCAAUAUUUGAUGCCAACAAUUAUGGUUGCAAAUUGCCUUGUUAACAAGAUUAUAAUAAUGAUACAAGCAUAAACUCAGCUGAUCAUUUGCUAUUGAGGCCUUGAGUAUACAAAUUUCUAUCAAAAAAACAAAACAGAAAUUCUUAACUAAUUAUCUAGGACUAACCUGAUGUGUAUUCUUUCAAAUAAAUUUUUGCUGAAUAAGAGAAAGAAGAGGGAAACAAAAGAGGGUAAAAAAUAUAUAAAUACAGAAAACUGUAAAAAGAUCACAAAGCAAACUUUAAAGCUAACUAAGUCUGGGUUCCAAUAUAAAACUUUAUAUAUAAAAUUAUACACACACAUAUAAAUUAACAAUUGUCUAUAUAAAGAAAAAUAUGCAUCCAAGGUUCUGGAGUAGGCUCCUGAGCAAGUAACUAGGGGAACAGUCCCUAGAGUAGGACAUACAUAUCAGUUCUGAAUUUUCCACUAUUUAGUUCUAACACUGAUUAAGUCUUGCAAGCAUUCUAGCACUUCACUUCCUCAACAGCAAAAGAAGUUAAUGGACAUCAGAUCUUUGCAUUUUACAACAUGUAAAUUUUACCUAAAAAAAGAGCUGUCAAAACAGGAGAUGAGUCAUUAAUUAAUCUAAGCUGUUUCCAUUCUUCUGUCACAUACAACUCAUCUAGAAGCACUCUAAUAGAGACAAACAUUUACUACUUGUUAAAAAGUCUUCAGAAGGUUCAUCACUAAGGAAACAAAGACUAGAUGACCCUUUUGGUCUCCUCUAGCUUUACAUUUCCAUAGGUUUGUAAUAUUCUAUUACAAAUGGCAUCACUACUUAAUUUAUAUUAAUGAAAGAAAAACCUGAAAAACACUACCUUAGCUGACACUAAAUGACAUGUGCAAAAGUGUCAGCAUCUGUUUUCUCUGCCUAUAUUUCCAGCCUGAAUAAUAUGAAAUCAACAGGUUUAGAUACUACAACUGUCCACUACCUUCCCUGGUCCUUCAUUAAAUUACUUUAGAGAGGGAAGAGAUUUCUUGGUCCCUUCCAUUUAUCACCUAAUAAAAGUCAAAAGUCAACUAGGGCAGAAGGAUUAAGUGGACGAGUAUUAUAUGAAGAAUCAACUCUAAAACAAGGAGAUUCUUUUCAUCAAACCCUUCCCAACAAAGCAGUGAUAGAAUGGUCUUUGGAGGUCAUGAUUAUUUCAUGUACAACUUACUUUUUUUUAAUAAGAUAAUAUUAUAGACUUCUUUAAAAACUACUAAAUAUAAUAAACUUAUAAUCAAAAACAUUUGAAAAAUAUAGGAAGUAUACAAAACAUAAAAGAUAAAAAAUAAAAAUUAAAAAAAAUUAAAAAUUAAAAAAGUUGCUGAGUUAGAUUGAUAAAAUUAUGGGUCUUUUUCCUUUCAAAUUUUUCUUCAAUGAACAACAACAAAAAAAAGAUGCAUUUCCUAAAACCAUGAUCAAUUCAUUUUCUCUACAGAAAAAGAACAUACGGUUUGUUACAUUAUUGAUGACCUAACAUUCAAUGAAAACAUGAACUGAUUUUUUUAAAGAUGGCAUUAUUCAUUUGUUGAUCACUGAAAAUACUUCAGGCAUAGCCACUCACGCACAUGUUUUAAAAUACUAUUAUCAGCACCUCAAAUUAAAACUUUGUAUAUACUCAGCAGAAAUAUUAUUAAGGCAAAAUCAAUAUUUGUUAUGUACAGAAAAAGACAGUAUGUAUUCUGCUGAGGACAAACUUAGUAUUUCUUUCGCCCAAGUUUUAACAGAACAGCAAUUUGGAGAUUGUUUUAAUUUUAACUACCUACAAUAAAUAUAACCUACACAUCUUAUAAAAAGAGGAUUUCAUUACACGGCAUAAGGGAAAUUCAUACCAUUAAAACUUUAUAACAAAAUGUGCUAUUUUAGCAAAAAUAUAAAGCUACAAACUCAUAAAAACUGGGUACUAUAACAUUCAUGAGAAACUUGUCAAAAGUACCUGAGAAACUUGUCACUAUAGUCUAUCACUCUUCAUCGUAUUACUAUCCCUUCUAAAGAAUAUAUACAUUCCAACAUAUGCAAUUUUUAAAAUUUACUGGAGUUACCUAUAUACAUGCAAGUUACCAUGUACUUAUUGGAUACAUUAACACAGAAAAUUUGAAGAUUAAAAAAAGUGAAGUUAAUUUUGGCAAAAUUUUGCUAAAAGUGCUUAUUUAAGUAGUUCUCACCAAAACCAGGCAAGGGGAAAGAUAUAACUACUUAUUUAUUCUCUUUCAAUAAAAUGUUCUACAUAAAUAAAAUUAAUUUUGUAUUCAACUUACUCUCAAGCCAGUAGAAAUAUGAAACUCUCAGAACACAAUAGUGACAGUAAGAAAAGAAUCAAGGAUACGUUGACAAAAAGGAAAAAAUAGUUGUUAUCUAAUAACCUCUGAGUACCUAAAAUAAUUUCCUACUAUUCUUAUUACUAUCUACCAAGGAAAAACUAAUCAUUAUGAUUGAGCUAAACUGAAGACAAGAAAUUUUAAGAUGAGUAAAUUUUUAUUUAAAUUACUAGUCAAAGAUGAGGUAUAAUUAUAAUUCUCUAACAGAAGUGCCCUCUUGUUUACUACUACUAAAAUAAUAGCAAAAUAAAAUAAAAUGGUAUAUUCCCAAUGAGAUGAAAAUGCGUGAUUGUUGUUUGAAAUGUGAUUGUCAAUGUUUUUCAAAUAAUUUUAUUGGCACAUCAGAAAUUUAAAGGAUGGUACUGUAUUAUUUAACUAAAUACACUAAAGCAGGUACUUGUAAGAUCAAUGAGAGGUUAAUCAUUUUCAACUAACUAGAAUAAUCAUAUAUAUAUUUGGGGAACACCAGGAAGAAAGCAAGUACUCCUAAAACAAAUAAUCAAAGUUGUCGUCAGUUGAAAAGAUACUUAUUGAUUCUGAAUAUUUUUCUUUAGCAAAUACACUCUUAAUAAAAUGUACUUUUAAAUUCCUAAACAUUACUUUAACUAGUCAACAUGAGAAACUUAAAAUAUCAUGGUAUGAUUUAACAGAGUCUUAAUCUCCCUUUCUUAUUUAUUUUUAGCAAUGGCUCUGCUUUUUUAGUUCUCAAUUUCUCCAUUUGGAAGUGUUUAGUCCAAAGAAAGAAAACAUUCUUCCUAAACUAUAUAUAAGCCACUAUUAUUAAAUAGAAUCCCAAUUAUUUCUGAAGUAUUCAAGUGCCUUCUAAUACUACAAUUUUGUUUCUUUAAUCAAAGUAAUAAACACAUUUCCUUGUCCUAAAAUUAUUAUAGCUAUUAUGAAAACCUGACUCUAGAAUCUCAAUUUAAAGCACAGUUGAUGAUUCAUGUUUAAUUUAGAUAUACUUCCUUUUUUACAAUCUCUCUAAAUUAGUACAGGAGAGCCUAUGAUUACCAGAAAAUACUGGGUUCCUAUUAUAAUCAGUCAGCUUUAGUGGGACCUUGCAUUAAUGCUAGAAGACUUUUUAUGUAAAUAUUUUACAACAAUUUUUUUUUCAAUGGCAUUUUAGUGUUUUCCCUCACUCUUCUCUAAAAAUACCAUACUAAACGGGGGACCUUCGGAUGAGAUAAGCAAACAAAAGGGCUGGCCAAAUCUAAAGCCAUGUCUGUCCUUAAGAUCCUACAAUUUUUCUUGGGAUCACAUUUAGUCUCACUUCUCACUACUGUCAGAUUCACAAGAUUCUCAAAGACCCCACGUACCCCAAGAUUCUCGCUAUAACUGUACUCCAACCAUGCCUUUCUCUCUCAGACAAUGUUCUUAUAUGCCACACCUCUCCCGAUCACAGUGCAAGAAGCUUCUGUAUUCCACUGCCUCUGAACUCUCACCUUCUUGUGGUAUCAGCAAAUUUAUCUGAUAAAACUAAUUGGUCCUAAUAUUGUCAAUAAAAGCAAUACUUUUAAGGUUUCUCUUCCAAAGAAUAUGAUUUUAAACAAAACAUUUUAGAAAGAUUCCCUAACAUGAAGGAGAAAGACAAAGUUUGGCAUCGGCGAUUCUCAAAUUAUACCACCCAGUCAACCACACAGUCUAGCUAUUUGUAAUGUAGACCCAAUUACAAUUCAAUAACUUUAAAUUAAAAAUUAAUGUGGUCAUACAACCCGUCGUGAAUAUAUACCUGGCUUAGAUAUAUGUCUCAUGGCAAAUGCAAAGUGGAAACUAAAAGUAAUUGUUUGGUUUUAUCUUCAAUCCCAUCUUUCUUAAAUCUUCUCAUCUUCAAAGUAAAGCAAAGGACCCCUAGAGCAAUCCAGCUAAAAUGUCAGGUAAUUUUUUUAACCUACCCAGAAAAAUUACUUAUGGUAUAUCAUAUGAGGUUUUCUCAGCACAUUUGGUAUACACGAUUAAAGUGUCUUUUCUAAGGUAUGCUUUCACGACAGCGUGGAAAUUAGAAAUUUAGUUAGAUCUUGUUUAUCACCAAUUCUGACAAAAUAAUUUGCUCUUUAGCGCAUUAAUCCAAAAAUCUAUGACUGAGAUAAUUUAAUACCAUUUCAUUCAAUCUUCAAUUAACCCUAUAGUUACAAGUCUAGAACAUCCUUUCUGAACAAAAGUUUGUUUUUUUAACCAGAAUUGUAUGGACUCUGUUAAAUAAUAUUCUUGUGAAGAAGCCUCUCAACCAGAAAUCUCAAACAUGCGAUCAGCUAGAUGAAUUUAGGAAAAGACAAAACACACCUAAUUCUGAGUUUCUUAACAACAGGAAAUGAAAUGUCCAAGAACACACCAUGUAGAAUAUUAUAAAACAUAACAAUCCUAUUUGGUUUUUCUAUAAAGUCCUAUUUGUAAUGUCUAUACAGCUACAAAUCCACAGAGGUUAAGGACUAUGUGACGUGAGUUGUCUUUCAACCUACACUGAGAAGAGCAUUAAAAGAGCUGAAUGAAUGAAGAAUUAAAAACAAUUUAUGAGAGUUCUUAAAGACCAGUCUACAUACAAUGCUCACUCAGCUAUUUGUAAAACAAAUUUUAUUAAAAACAUUAAUGCUCGAUAAAUUACCCCAAAGGUCAUUAAAGUACAGACAAAACCUACACUAGAACAAUAAUUUUACAUCCUUUUAAGUCAUACAUUUGGCCCUAUUUUUGGAACAAAUUGGCACAGCAAGUAUCCAACAUGACCUCACCUCCACUUCCCACUCUUUAUUCUUUAGGUUUAGAAGGUAAGUAUGAAAUUCAACUCAAUCCUAAAAGACUGCUUCAUUUAAGUGCUACAUUUUGCCUUGACUUUCUUUAUGACCUUGGAAGGAAUCUACCAAAUAACAACUAUUUUGAUGUUUCCAUGUUUCUGUUUAUUAAUGAAAUUUAAUCUGUUUAUUAAUGAAAUUUAAUAUGCUAACAAUGUGGAAGUCUUUUAAACUGAACCUAGAGAGCAGAAAGCCUGAGUUACAAAACAUCAAAUGAUAUGUAAUGCGAACCACAUUUUUAAAACCUAGUUUGACUAGUUAAAAAUAAAAAACUACAAAGUUUGGGCCUCAAAUUCAACAAGAUUGAAAAACAAGUUCUGCAAAACACCAACAGCCUCCUUAUUACCUCUCUUUAUGGACAACUGGUCUGCAAUGUGGAAGAGAAGAAAAAAUAAAAGUAGCUUUAACAAGCCAUGUCCUUGCUUUUAUAAGGAUAACAGGUGAACAACAAACGAAAAUUUAAAACUUGGCAAAGAAUGAGGAGACUGUAUAUAAAGAAAUCUACAAUCUGAAAAUUACGAAGCUAAGUAUCUUUUAAGCUACCAAUUUGUAUAUCUACGUUGGGCAAUAAUCUUGGUAUUACUGCUUUAUUAGCAUUAGAGAGAUAAAUCCCUGCCUUGGAGGAACAUCUACUAAGUACAUGUCAUUUCAGAAUCUUAGUGCAGUUUACGGGCAGUGUCUCUGUAGGUUUCCCUAAGGUACUCUUAAGGGCUUACCAUCAUUCAAACAUCCAGCUACCGCUAGGGUGAGAAGUAAAUAAACACAAUUUACUUAUGCAAUAUAUUUACCCCGGAAUUAUAGUCAAGAAUGCAAAAGUAAGCACCCAUACAGGCAUUUAACACCCAAAGAAAGCGUAGAAUACUACGGACGAUGAGAUUCACCCUUAAUCGACCACUAUAGAAACCAGAGGCCUUCCACAUGAGCUGUUCUUUACCAGCACUCUUGAUUGAAAAAGUAACAAUGUCAACUCAAUAUUUUAACAGCACAAAAGACAAACAGAACUCAGUGAAAUCUUUUCUUCCAGAUCCUUAAAAGGUGCUUAUAAAAACUAAGAGAGAGCAACGCCCCCCUAAAAACACCUUACUAGAAAAAAAGAAAUACCCAAAACAUCAGGUGGGUCAGGGUUAGAAAAGCUGAUCUAACCCAAUUACCCGGAGGGACCACAAGGUUUGGAACUAGGGACGUGAGAUCGGGGUGGGGGUGGGUAGGAAAGUGAAAUCUAACCCCAGAAAUCACAACACAGGCCGCAGCCUGAGAGCUGAAGCUGGCGGGAAGUGAGCUCUCUUUCUGUUCCCAGGGGAAAGUCCAGAGAAGAGAGGCUCCACACAGCGGACGUACGAGGCGCCAACAGUGCCUGCCUACUAAGGCGCCGGAGCCGCUGGAGAACCAGGUUGAGAAGGGGAGGAGAUCCCGGCAGACGGCCCUGGGAAGAGGAGGAGGACUAAGGUUGGAAGCCGCGGCAGCGUCUGGACGAGGGGAAUUACCUAACUGUGACGACAGAGAAGUGUCCUCAGGCUCCGGCGAUGGUCCCGACUGCGCAAUGUGCGGUGUCUUUCCCCCUUAGCCCGCAGCAGCAACAGAACCAGCUCCUUCAGCCAGUCGCCAUUUCCCGCCUACCGACCU
rnacentral:lncRNA from 1 species